rnacentral:rRNA from 16 species
GGAUGCGAUCAUACCAGCACUAAAGCACCGGAUCCCAUCAGAACUCCGAAGUUAGGCGUGCUUGGGCGAGAGUAGUACUAGGAUGGGUGACCUACUGGGAAGUCCUCGUGUUGCAUUCC